GACGAACGCUGGCGGCGUGCUUAACACAUGCAAGUCGAACGGAAAGGCCCUGCUUUUGUGGGGUGCUCGAGUGGCGAACGGGUGAGUAACAAGUGAGUAACCUGCCCUUGACUUUGGGAUAACUUCAGGAAACUGGGGCUAAUACAGGAUAGGAGCUCCUGCUGCAUGGUGGGGGUUGGAAAGUUUCGGCGGUUGGGGAUGGACUCGCGGCUUAUCAGCUUGUUGGUGGGGUAGUGGCUUACCAAGGCUUUGACGGGUAGCCGGCCUGAGAGGGUGACCGGCCACAUUGGGACUGAGAUACGGCCCAGACGCCUACGGGAGGCAGCAGUGGGGAAUAUUGCACAAUGGGCGGAAGCCGGAUGCAGCAACGCCGCGUGCGGGAUGACGGCCUUCGGGUUGUAAACCGCUUUCGCCUGUGACGAAGCGUGAGUGACGGUAAUGGGUAAAGAAGCACCGGCUAACUACGUG
rnacentral:rRNA from 1 species